rnacentral:rRNA from 1 species
GACGUAGGGCGCAAGCGUUUGUCCGGAUUUAUUGGGCGUAAAGAGCUCGUAGGCGGCUCGUUGCGUCGGCUGUGAAAACUCGAGGCUUAACCUCGAGAUGUCAUCGGAAACCAUCUGGCUAGAGUCCGGAAGAGGAGAGUGGAAUUCCUGGUGUAGCGGUGAAAUGCGCAGAUAUCAGGAAGAACACCAAUGGCGAAAGCAGCUCUCUGGGACGGUACUGACGCUGAGACGCGAAAGCGUGGGGAGCGAACAGG